rfam:Flavobacterium sp. EM1308 contig00044, whole genome shotgun sequence.
UACUUUUGCACCCAUCUUGCAACAGAUGUAAGAAUACAUAAUAAUCAUUUAAAAAAUAUUGGAAUG